UACGUAGGGUGCAAGCGUUGUCCGGAAUUAUUGGGCGUAAAGAGCGUGUAGGCGGCUUUGCAAGUCCGUUGUGAAAACUCGAGCUCAACCUCGAGACGCCGGUGGAAACUGCAAAGCUAGAGUCCGGAAGAGGAGAGUGGAAUUCCUGGUGUAGCGGUGAAAUGCGCAGAUAUCAGGAAGAACACCCGUGGCGAAGGCGGCUCUCUGGGACGGUACUGACGCUGAGACGCGAAAGCGUGGGGAGCGAACAGG
rnacentral:rRNA from 1 species